GGAAUUGUUUCCACUGAGAUGUUCCCAGAGAAGAAGCAGUCUGAGGUUGUCUGUGCAAAGACCACAAGUCCAUCUUCAGAUGUGAAGAUCCGGACUCCUUCCAAGUCUAGGUGUCCUAACUCUGUUGUGGUAAACCUGUCACAGACACCGAGCUCAUCAUCAGAUGUGAAGAAGCGUACUCCCUCCAAAUAUGGGUCUCCACCUGCCAAUGCUGUGAGACACCUGGAGUUCUAGUUCUGAGUCCAGUUAAAAGUCCUUCGCCCAUCUACUGCAAGGUCCAGUCCCAUACCGGCCCUAACCCAGACAUGGAGACCCCACAGCCUGAGCACAUCUACUCCUUCGUGUUUUUAUACGAUAGCUUAAAAG